UUCCUAAAAUAACUUUUGUAGCGUAAGUGUAAAAUAAAUUUAUUCAUAUAGUAAUAAAGAUAAUUAAAGUAUGAAAUUUCGUUUAUAGUGACACGUGGGCCCCCAACUAACCAAGAAGGUGUAGAGCUACGAACCCUUACUUCCUAUGAUGCAACUCCGAGAUUAAUUUUCGUCUUAAUCAACUAUCAAUAAACUGUCCUGAACCUGAAAAAUGGAUAGGAAGAGGGGUGAGAUUAAAUAAUCCCAGUGAGUAAACAAUUACCAUCAAAAACAUCUAAAGCCGAGUAGAUGGAGACAAUAUAAAAACGUUAUAUCUCAAUAAUGUUCAUAACACAAAAUUCGUUUCAAUCUAUACCAAAUAAUUUCUUUUCAUCAAAAUUUCCCGGCUUAUGAAUUUCUUAAACUUGGCCCCUGCCAGAAUCAUUCUCGCGAGUACCUUCAUCAAGGUAUCCCACUGAGACCGCCAAGGCUGUUCAAUG
rnacentral:lncRNA from 1 species